rnacentral:pre_miRNA from 1 species
CUUUUAGUAUAAAUAUGUCCCAUAAAAUAUUUGGGAUAUACUUACACUAAAA